rnacentral:rRNA from 1 species
AUUGAACGCUGGCGGCAUGCCUUACACAUGCAAGUCGAACGGCAGCACGGGUGCUUGCACCUGGUGGCGAGUGGCGAACGGGUGAGUAAUAUAUCGGAACGUACCUUAUUGUGGGGGAUAACGCAGCGAAAGCUGUGCUAAUACCGCAUAAUCCCUACGGGGGAAAGCGGGGGACCGUAAGGCCUCGCGCAAUUAGAGCGGCCGAUACCUGAUUAGCUAGUUGGUGAGGUAAAGGCUCACCAAGGCAACGAUCAGUAGCUGGUCGGAGAGGACGAUCAGCCACACUGGGACUGAGACACGGCCCAGACUCCUACGGGAGGCAGCAGUGGGGAAUUUUGGACAAUGGGGGCAACCCUGAUCCAGCAAUGCCGCGUGAGUGAAGAAGGCCUUCGGGUUGUAAAGCUCUUUUGUCAGGGAAGAAACAGCAGCUCUAACACAGUUUGCGAAUGACGGUACCUGAAGAAUAAGCACCGGCUAACUACGUGCCAGCCGCCGCAGUAA